GGUCCCUUCGUAUAACGGUUAGUACGCCAGAUUCUGAUUAAUCAGGAGUUCUUGGUGAUUGUUCUGGAAACGCCGGUUCGAUUCCGGCAGGGACCU